GCGACCCAGGUCAGGCAGGAUUACUUGCUGAAUUUAAUCAUAUCAAUAAGCGGAGGAGAAGAAACUUACAAAGAUUCCCCUAGUAAUGGUGAGCGAAUCGGGAAGAGCCCAGCUUGAGAAUCAGGUGCCACUCGUCAUUCAGAUUGUAGUCUAGAGAAGCAUCCUCAGUGUCGGACAAGGCCAAGUCUGUUGGAAGGGUGUGCAGGAGAGGGUGAGAGCCCCAUUGUGCCCAAACUUGUCGCACCACGAGGCAUUGUCAGGUUGUCGGGUUGUUUGGGAAUGCAGCCCUAAUUGGGCAGUAAAUUCCGUCCAAGGCUAAAUAUGGGCGAGAGGCCGAUAGCAAAUAGGUACCACAAGGGAAAGAUGAAAAAUACUUUGAAAAGAGAGUCAAUGAGUGCUUGAAAUUGUCAGGAGGGAAGCAGAUGGGGGCUGGUGAUGCACCCUGAUCGGAUGUGGAACGAUGAAUGCGGUUUGCCGAUCAACUCGAGGUGUGGACCGACGCUUAUUGCGGCGGUGGCCCAAGCCCGGGUUGUAGUCAUGCCCAUGGAAACGUUGUUGCCACAAUCGUGGUGGGGAGCACGCCCGCGCAAGCUGUGCUUUGGCAUCUAUCGGGACUUGAAAGAUGGUGAACUAUGCCUGAGCGGGGUGAAGCUAGAGGAAACUCUGGUGGUGGCCCGCAGCGAUACUGACGUGCAAAUCAUUUUUCUGACUUGGGUAUAGGGGCGAAAGACUAAUCGAACCGUCUAGUAGAUGUUUCCUUCCGAAGUUUCCCUCAGGAUAGCUGGAGCCCACGAGCGAGUUAUAUUGGGUAAAGCCAAUGAUUAGAGGCAUCGGAGGUGCAACGCCCUUGACCGAUUCUCAAACUUUAAAUAGGUAGGACGUCCCGAUUGCUUUGUUGAAUCAUGCCAAGGAAUUGAGAGCUCCAGUGUUAUAUUGGAUUUGAAUCAGAUUUCGGAUCAAUCUAUAUUGAUUGACUGCCUCCAUUAUGUUGUUGCUAGCAAAUACCACUACUUUUGGUUUUGAAUUUUCUAAAUCAUUCCCGUAGGAGGUCUGGACCCUUUUUUUUUUAUGAUCCUUCGAUAAAAGGAUUCAUUCUCUUGAUAAAAAAUAGGAGGUAGAACCAAUAAAUAUUUCUUUUUUGAUUCAUCCCUGGAGUUGAAUACCUCAAUCAAGAAUUGUUUUUGAUCCAAUCUGCAGGAAUCAAUAGAAAGGGUAAAUCCCUUAUGAUACGCCAGAUCCGACAAUGGGCCCUUUUUGGUAAGCAGAACUGGCAAUGCGGGGUGAACCAGAAGGCGGGUUAUGAUGCCCAACUGCGCACUAACCUAGAACCCACAAAGGGUGUUGGUCGAUUAAGACAACAAGACGGUGGUCAUGUAAGUCAAAAUCCACUAAGGAGUGUGUAACAACUCACCUACCGAAUCAACUAGCCCUGAAAAUGGAUGGCACUGAAGCACGCAACCUAUACCGGGCCGCCGAGGCAAGUGCCAGGGGUAACUACAAAACUUGGGGCGUGAGCCCGGGUGGAGCGGCUGUUGGUACAGAUCUUAGUGGUAGUAGCAAAUAUUCAAAUGAGAAAGGUUCCAUGUGAAAGGUUCCAUGUGAACAGCACUUGCACAUGGGUUAGUCGAUCCUAAGAGACGGGGGAAACCCAUCUGGUAGCGGGAUGGACGCGAGCUUCAAAAGAGAAUCGGGUUAAAAUUCUUGAACUGGGACGUGGCAGCUGAUGGCAAUGUUAGGGAGUCCGAAGACGUUGGUGGGGGCCACGGGAAAAGUUAUCUUUUUUGUUUAACAGCCUGCCCGACUUGGAAACAGCUCAGCCAGAGGUAGGGUCUAGUGGCUGGAAGAGCACCACACUUUGCAUGGUGUCCUGUGUGCCCCCACGCCCAGUUGUACUCAUAACCACAUCAGGUCUCCAAGGUAGGCAAGGGAAGUCUGUAAAAUGGAUCCGUAACCUCGGGAAAAGGAUUGGCUCUGACGGAUGAGCACAGGGGUCCUAGUCCUGAACCCAUUGGCUAUCGGUGGACUACUCGAGCUACUUCCGCGGUGUGAACGGGUAGCCGCGUGCGGGCCAGAGGACGAACUGGAAAUGAUCGCUUCGGCGGUCUUCCCCGGGCGUCGAACAGUCGACUCAAAAUUGGUACGGACAAGGGGAAUCCGACUGUUUAAUUAAAACAAAGCAUUGCGAUGGUCUCUGCAGAAUGCUCAUGCAAUGUGAUUUCUACCCAGUGCUUUGAAUGUCAAAGUGAAGAAAUUUAACCAAGCGUGGGCAAACGGCGAGAGUAACUAUGACUCUCUUAAGGUAGCCAAAUGCCUCUUCAUCUAAUUACUGACGCACAUGAAUGGAUCAACGAGAUUCUCACUGUCCCAGUCUACUAUCCAACGAAACCACAACCAAGGGAAUGGGCGUGGCAAAAACAAUGGGGAAAGAGGACCCUGUUGAGCUUGACUCUAGUCCGACUUUGUGAAAUGACUUGAGAGGUGUAGGAUAAGUGGGAGCUGAAAGGAGAAAGUGAAAUACCACUAUUUUUAACGUUAUUUUACUUAUUUCUUGAAUUGGAGGCGGGGCAUUGCCCUUCUUUCUGGACCCAAGGCUCGUUUUGGUGGGCUGAUUCAGGCAGAAGACAUUUUUAGGUGGGGAGUUUGACUGGGGCGGCACAUCUGUUAAAAGAUAAUGUAGGUGUCCUAAGAUGAGCUCAAUGAGAACAAGAAUAUCGUGUGGAACAAAAUGGUAAAAGCUCGUUUGAUUCUAAUUUCCAGUAUGAAUAUGAACCGUGAAAGUGUGGCCUAUCUAUCCUUUGGACCUUCAGAAUUUGAAGCCAGAGGUGUCAAAAAAGUUACCACAGGGAUAACUGGCUUGUGGCAGCCAAGCGUUCAUAGUGACGCUGCUUUUUUAUCCUUCGAUGUCGGCUCUUCCUAUCAUUGUGAAGCAGAAUUCACCAAGUGUUGGAUUGUUCACCCACCAAUAGGGAACGUGAGGUGGGUUUAGACCGUCAUGAGAUAGGUUUGUUUUACCCUACUGAUGACAGUGUCGCAAUAGUAAUUCAACUUAAUACGAGAGGAACUGUUGAUUUGCACAAUUGGUCAUCGUGCUUGGUUGAAAAGCCAGUGGCGCGAAGCUAUCGUGUGCUAGAUUGUGAUUAAAUGCCUCUUAGUCAGAAUCCGGGCUAGAAGCUACAUGUGAGCCCGUCGCCCGAUUGUCGACCUGCAGUAGGGGCCUUAGGGCACCCAGAGGCACAUGUCAUUAGUGAAGCUCUCACGGCGGAUGAGUUAUACGGGCUUUCUUGAAGUACAAUUCUUACCGAGCGGCGGGUAGAAUCCUUUGCACACGACUAAAAUAUGCGACAUGGUAUUUUAAGUGGCAGAGUAGCCUUGCUGCCAUGAUCCAUUGAGAUUUAGCCCUGUGUCUGAUAGGAACCA